UGGGGAAUAUUGGGCAAUGGGCGCAAGCCUGACCCAGCAACGCCGCGUGAAGGAAGAAGGCCCUCGGGUUGUAAACUUCUUUUAUGAGGGACGAAGAAGUGACGGUACCUCAUGAAUAAGCCACGGCUAACUACGUGCCAGCAGCCGCGGUAAUACGUAGGUGGCAAGCGUUAUCCGGAGUUACUGGGUGUAAAGGGCGUGUAGGCGGGGUCGCAAGUCAGAUGUGAAAUCUCAUGGCUCAACCAUGGAACUGCAUUUGAAACUGUGAUUCUUGAGUGAUGGAGAGGCAGACGGAAUUCCGUGUGUAGCGGUGAAAUGCGUAGAUAUACGGAGGAACACCAGUGGCGAAGGCGGUCUGCUGGACAUUAACUGACGCUGAGGCGCGAAAGCGUGGGGAGCAAACAGG
rnacentral:rRNA from 1 species